UUCACGCGCGCAUUGUGAGCAUUCAAGUUUCGUUUUUUGCACUUGCUUAGAAGCUGAAAUUGCGGACAUUGCGGGGUUGGGCUUGAUGACAUUUGUUGCUCAGCUGCCGCGACGCAUUUGGAGCAAAGCUUCUGCUUAUUUCUUUUGGCCGCACCUUAUAUUUGUUGUCUUUGUCAACAUCUGACCUGUUUCUGCCUUGUUGAAAGCAAGUGGCCACAAGUACUGCUUAGUUUGCUCAGUGUAAACCUGGCCACUUCACAACUGCAAGGUGAAUCUGAUGUAGGCAGUGUCAGGGUCAUGGCCCAUAUUUUGGUGAACGCCAAGAAUGCAUCCUGUGACUGAAGUUUGAGCAUUUGAGCCC